UUAUUAAAACAGCGUGAAAGAAGUCCCAAAUCAUCUUCCAUCAAGGAUUGAAAGAGUGACAUCAUUAACGGAGUCUCCCAUCCCGGAAGAGGUGUCGGUAAAAGUCGGUUGCUUCGGCACAGGUAAAUCGACAAUUUCCCGACUAAGCAUUGCAAGUAUAGUUGAAAUUGUAGGCCGGUUAUUAGGGAAAUCUUGUACGCACAAUAGUGCAAUGUGAAUGCACCUCACCAUCUCUCCCUGGAAUUCGGCUUUGUAUAUUGUUUGAUCUAUGAAGGUUGAACCAUUGUCUUCAUUCCAUAAUUUCCAUGCCUAAAACAAAUUAUCAUAUAUAAGAUCCUGAGGAAUGUUUGAAAACACAAAUGAAAAAACACGGAAGAUUACGAAGUGGCUUACCCAACCCAAAAGGCUUAAUGACCAUUCAUGACAGUAGAAGUUGUUUUUUUUCCCACUCAUGAUUUCUAACAUCAAAACGCCAAAACUAUAGACGUCAGAUUUUUCAGAAAACCUUCCUUCCAUUGCAUAUUCUGGCGCCUUAUAUCCGCUAAAACAUAUGAUAAAUACAUAUACAUUUGAAUCAUCCAAUAUUAAAAAACGAAUGGCAUGUGCAGGGUAUUAUUUAGAUACUACANUACUUUUCCAGGGAGUAUGACCUUUCCACGAAGGUCUAGGUCUCACACCAAGAUAGGCAUAUGCUAGGACGGAGGAUCUCGGUGUUCGAGUGGGCCACCCCGGUGCAAUUUCGUUUUGGGAUUUGAGUAGGUAAGGACAGCGAGACCAGCAACAUAAACGAUCGGACCAAGCAAGCGUACAAAUAAGUAAUUUCUUUAUUUUAUUUUAUUUUAUAAUAAUUUUCAAACCCAAUCUUCUUGUGUUUAUAUAGCUUUUUAAUGACCCGAUCCAUUGGAAUUCUACGAAGAAAAGUAAUUCAAAGCUUUCAUACAACUUUUGGCGAAGGUUAAGUGGAUAAAUGAUAUCAGAUAAUGCACAGUGUUUAGACAAUAAUGGCCCCCUUAUGCCCUACUCUCCUGUUCAGUCGCCUCACUAGUCAAUAAUUCCAUUAUUGAUGAAUCGCUCUCAAUUUGACCAUUUUUGGGAAAUGAGUGGAAUGAAAGAAGAAGUUUCAUUUUUGGAUUUUUAUUUAUUUUAAUGUCUUCUAGAAAUGAAAAUGCCUCCCUCAUAAAUCCAAGUUUAUUAUUAUACGUGGUUAGUGUAUCUCAAGGCUCUCACGAUCAAGAGGAAAGGAAAAAAAACCAAGAAAAUACAUACAAAUGCUCAUACUUGAUGAUUGAAUCGUGUGCGAGCUAUUAGAAUAGUGAAAAUAGAUGACGAUUAAUCAACCGGAUGAAAUGCGCCAAUCAAUAAACUUUUAAUGAACCUACAAUCGAGUCACUCAUAUUUAAUUUCGAGUAAUCAGGUCACUUAAUUUUGAUUUACAUGCAACCUUUGUGACUCCAUCUAAUAACGUGAUAUUUUGACAAGGACGUUAAAAUAAUGGAGGGAUACGUGUCUGGAAAAUGAGGAUUUAUUGUUAAUAUUUCUCUUUCUUAAAAUUUGUAGAUUAUGAGCCCAAAAAAAAAAAUAAAUAAAAUAAAAAAUUGUGUUUUUUUGUUUGCACAAAUUUUUAAAUUGCAUGUUUUAAUGUGGGUGACGUGAACAUACACGUAAUUCUUUUGUUAGUUUUUACGUUCAUGUCAGUGUAUUACAUUAGUUAGGUUGACAAUGAUAGAAAGAGUGACCACGGUUAGAAUCAAAUCAAAGUUGAAUGGCAUAAUUGCUCGAAAUUAAAGAUUAGUGUCCCAAUACACAUUUGUGGUCAAGUUUAGUUGACCGCCAGUGCAUUUAGCCAUGUAGAAAAAUGGGUCGUGGAUCAUUCAUGUGGAAUUACUCAACCCACAAAAUAUUAAAAUGGAUUAAACUUUGAAGGGGAUAAUUUGAAGUUGAAAUUCAAACAUAUAACUUCCAUCAACUCUCAACAAAAACCUCCAUCAACAUGUCUUGCACAAAAACAAGGGGGAAAAGAAAAGAAAAAGGAUGGAAAGAAAAUGGUGAAAUUCGAUUGGGAAAAUACUCUAAAAUUGGAAAUGCCCCAAAAUCAUAACUUUGACUAGAGAACUCACAAAUCAUGGCAUUUAGAUUGUGAUACUGUGAUCCAAAUUGAAACCAUAGGAGUGCAACAAAAUUAAGAUUUUAGAAUAUGGAACAAAGGGGUGAUUCAACUAUAAAGACCUUGGAAAUUCAUCAUUUUUAAGUAAGAAUUCUUGGACCAAAUUUAUGUUCAAGCAUGCUGUAAAUUAUUUCACUAGUAUCAAAGCAUAAGAUUGAAUUCCUUGCAGUAUUAUUUCUUGUCUAAGAAUGCUUUUACAUGAUUCAAUAGUGUUUGUGGGCCUCGUAUGUUAAAGUAUGCACAACCUUAUGUGGUCUUUAUGAUAUCUUCUAUGUACAUAUCUAAAAUGAAUUAUCAUAUGCAGUGGAGUUCAUCAGCAAAAUUUCAUCAAUUUUCGUUUUUGCAUUUAGAAGAAAAUUGGAACUUAGUUGAUUUUGCAAAAAACUUUAAAAAUUCACUUUGUGUCCAUUAUGUUGUUGUCUCAAAUAUUGUGUUAAGUAUAAAAUUUGUGAAAUCUGACCACACCAUCAAAUUCAUUACAUCAAAAUUAGGGGUAUAAAAGAAAAAAAUUUGUAUUAUUCUAGUCAAACAUGGGCAAGUGACAUGGUUUAGGGACAGAGACUGCGUAUCAGCAGCUAGUUAGUACUUUUUUUUAUUGUUUUUCAAAUUGUCCGUUCAGUGUUUGACAUGUGUCCCCCAAUUUAAAAACCCUGUCUUCAACCCUGUUUAUAUAGCAUAUCUCAAAAAUUUUAAUGGAAAAUCACCUAUAAGACAGGGCGUGCAUGGAGCGAAAAUGAUUUAAAUAAGAAAAGAAUUUGCUCCUGAAGCGUGGGGACCUCGAUUGCAACCUUUAAAAAUACAAUUUGGUCCCUUUAAUAUUCUUGAUUUGUUUAAUACUUAAAAUAAAUAUAAUUAUGUGAAAAUUAUAAAAUCUUAUAGUUUUACGUUAAAUGCAUAAUACUUAUUUAGGGAUUUCAUUACCUAGUAGGAGUUUUGAAUGAUGCAAUUAUCGGGUCUUAAAAAUUAAGAAAUGUAUUUUAGACUUAUCUCUUUAUCAGUGAUUAUUUUUAAAUUACAUUUAAAGCAUGAAAACACAUGCGACUUGAUGUUGUUAAAUUUCGAGGACAUGGUUACGUAGCAAUGCUCUAGUUCUUGUGAGAAUUCAAGUAUUACAUGAGUUAGAGCAAAGAUGAAAAAGAUAAGACUGAAAAAGGGACCAAGAAGAAUAUAUUAUAUAGUAAAAACGUGAAGAGAUUUGGUAGAUGACAAAUAUUACAAGGAUUCAAGUGCUUCAACUAUAAGGUACAGUCUCUUAGCUCAAAAGUGCUUGAGCUAAAAGAUACACUUGAAUAUAAUUCUCAUAAUUUUGCUAUGUGCCAAACCCUGGCUGAUAUGACGAUGGGCAGCCAAUUAGCUUAAAUAUAGAUAUAUAGAAAAGGCAAAUGAUCCCCUCAAAAGGGCAUAUAAGAAAUGUAUUCUCUCCACUACAUUUCGAUAUCAAAAAUCAACACAAUUCAGCCCUUUGGAUUCCCAUUAAUGCAAACUUUAAUUUUACGAAAAAUCCCAUUAAGCUGAUCCAAAUUUGCCAUGUCAUUUUGAGUCAUCAACCGUUGGUAAGAUAUGUUAUUCGUUGCCGCAGUGUAAAUUCUUGCACUUGGUCUUGUGUAUAUUAAUUUUUGAGGGCUUCCUACAUUGAGCAUGUUGUAUCUAAGCCAACGACGAAUCCAAGAGCUUCUUUUGAGAGUGUGCAUAUGAUCCGUCCACGAAGAAGGUGAUCAGACUUGCGCCAGGCUGCAAAAUUUUCUUUCAGUGUUUGUAUAAAGUUUUUUGCAUCUGUGUCUAAAGUUGGAUCGGUAUAUUUGGUGUGAGCUGAGUCUUUAGUGAUGAAAUGUUCGAUAAAUUCUUUACUUUCUGCUAAAGCUAGUGCUUGUUCACACCACAAAGGAUAGCUGGUUGGGAGAAUCUAAGGGUGAUGAAAUUUCCUACAUUUUUUAGAGUGACAAGUCAUGGCAAAAAAAUGAAGAUCGUUGAGUGCUCACAACCAAACCUGCUCUAAUAUGAAGAAGGAAAAAAUUGAAAAAGAGAACCUUAGAAUAAGAUCGUAUAUCAUUUUUUAAAUGAUGGCCAUAUGUAUGGUUAGUCCUGUUUAUAAUAAAAUAAGAUUGAUAACUUUUCACUUUUUUUGUAGCUAGCAUUUAUCCAAAGAAAUGGUUGGUCGAUGUAGUUGCUUCUACGUUGAUUUUUCAUUUCAUCGAGAUUGGGUUGGUGUUCAGUGUACUGGAUACAAGAUUGAAAAGAAUACAUUGGAUGGAUGCCUAUUUAAAUCAAAUGAGAAACUAACAACUCUGUAUUUUUGUAGUUCUGUUGUUUGAUUGGCUCUAUAGAUGCACCUGGAUUUGAAAUUUAAUUUAACGCAUUAUUUUUCAAGAUUGUUCUAUUAGAUCGAGAAAGAUCAUCUCAUCUUGUUAGGCUAUCUUUUGAUUUGAAUUUGCUGAUGCCAAGUCUUUUUUAUCACUCAAACUCUCCACUAAUUUUCAAAUUAUUGUGAGGAUUUUUAACUUCCUCUCUCCAAGAAUUUUGGGUUUUCUUAUCUCUCCUUUGAUCUCAUCAUUUUUGUUGCCAAGCUUUGAGACAUUGCUAACAUGUCUCACUUGUUGAGAAUCUACUUAACAUGCACAGCGGAAAUUAAAAUAAUUUUCGAUUCCUACCAGGAUUAAUCUUUGUGUUUAGAUAGAAAUUGUGAUAAAAGUCAUACAUUUUUCUAGAUCUGCAAACCCCUUAGCUUUUUCUUUGUAUCAAUAAUCUUGAUUCGCCACCCACAGUUGUCUAAUUGUCCAACCUCCAACGGUGAUCCACACAGAGAACAGAUUGCAGCUAUCGGGGUUUUCUCCUCUUGUGCUAGUAAGAAAUUAUGAAAAAACUGUAUGGAUUGAAAACCCGAGCCAUGCAUUUAUAUAAGCCCAAACGCUCCUGGCCUGGUCCGGUCCAAUAUUUAAUUAAUCCAUUUAAUUAAAUUCGGUCCAUGAAUUAAUUAAUCCAAUUAAUUAAUUCGGGCCUAUAAAUAACCAACCCAAUUAAUUAAUUUAUCCAAUGAUUGUUAAAUCAAUUAAUUGACGAAUUGCAAUCUUCUAAUUCUCUUUUGUGUGCGACCCAUCAGGUUCCCGAUCACGAUGUCUAAAGACGUGAAAUAUUAUUUUGAUCUAAUCAAAUUUGAUAAAUUAAAACACCCUUUUAAUUUAUCACAAAUUCACACUCGCUGUCCCAGAUUGACAUCUAGCAAUGUGUCAGGGCAAUACAUGUGAUGAGAACCAAACUCGUUCGUUUACCGUGAAACUAUAAUCACUUCGUCCAUAUGAUCGAUCAAUUACGAGAUAUGGAAGUGUAUCAAUCCCAAAUAUCGAUCAUAUCUUUCACUCUACUAUUAAGUCAAUAUAAGUCGAAAACUCAUUUUCAACUUAUGAGUAGACCUUAGCCAAAGAUUUCGUUAUUGAUUUAAUUAAAUGAAACGUAGAUCAUAAUCUCCUACUAUCUAAGAGUGACGAAUCCUUUAUUGGUCAUUCACAACCUUCAUACGAUUCUUGACAUACCUGAACGAUGCCGUAUUAGCGGCUCUUGACAGAACAACAACCAACACCAUCAAAGCAUGACUGUCCUCAUAUAAGAUAUUAUGACGACCUCAAAUCAAAAGACCAAUCUCACUAUCGAACAUUAGAGAUUAACUAUUGACACUCAGAUAGUUAUCCAUGUGAAAUCUCUCGGUGGGUCUCCAAUAUUUUGUUCUAUAACAAAACAUCAACGUGUUUAUUUAAGUGUCACCACACUUUAACUUGUGAGAUUAGCUACUUAUUUCACAAGUAAGAAAUAUCACACGUGAUGGUCUAUCCGUAAUAACGAUAUCUGUAUUUCGUUAUUACUUACGACAACGGACGAUUUAAGAUUCAAUCACAUGUAAUUUGUAUCUCAUAAUCACAACUCCUUGUGAUUAAUAAAUUACAAAAAUUUGAAUCUACGAACUCUAUUAUUUAUUUAAUUGUUUAUUAAUUAAAUAAUAAAUCUGUCAUUAAAUUAUAUUAAUUAUAUAUCAAAAAUAUUUAUAUCCAAGGUUGAUUGGAUCUAGGGCAUAAUACUUACAAACUCUCAUUUGCACUAGAUCCAAUCACUUAUGUAUCCAAUAUCAUAAGAGUUUGCAUGACGAUCAUGUUUAUGCUACGAUAACUCUUUGUUAGUGGAUCUGCAAUAUUGUCAACUAUGAAAAUUUGUUCUUCUCUUUACGUCAUUUCUAUGUAUUAUCUCUCUGAUGAGAUUAUACCGCCUUAAUAUAUGUUUGGAUCAUUGAUGAGACUUUAGUUCAUAUGCUUUCGCAAUGGCUCUAUUGUUAUCACAAUACAAUGACAUGUGAUCAACAAUAUCAGGAACCACUCCAAGUUCAUUUAUGAACAUCAUGAUCUACAUUGCAGCUCUUUGCUACUUCUGAAGUAAUCAUGUAUUAGGUUUCUACGAUUGAAUCAACGGUUGUUUCACGUUUGAAACCUUUCCAACAUACCGUUUAAGAGUAAACCAGUUUCUCUAUAUGAAAUCUUCUCAAAAUUUCAUCUAUGUAAAUUGGGAUGAGUUAAGCAAUCUUUUAGAUCUACCUCUAUAGAUCAAGUUGCUUCUCCCAUAUCGUUCAUGAAUAAUACUACAUGUGAAGACAUUGAAGAUAAAGAGCAAUAAUAGAAAAAGAUGCUCUUUGGAUAGAAAAGUUAAACCAACAUGUAGGCCCAAGAGGAAGAAAAUAGAAAGGCAAGUGUACCUUGUUGAUGUAUUCAAUGAUGUAAUAAAGUCUCAAAAAUUUGUAUAAAUAGAUCUCAUCCUAUCUUGAAUUCACAAGUUGUAAGCAAUAACCUUUAAAAACCAGUUUUUUCUAGAAAUCCCUUGUACCAAAUUAAAAUCUUGUAUCAAUCCUAAUAGAAAUAAAAUUCCAAUAUUUUGUUAUCAAUAUGAGUUUCUAAGUCUUUUUCUCAUAGAUUCUUGAGAGAUCAAAUAGAAAGUUUCCUUCUUACUUUAGCAAAAAAGAGAGUUUUCCUUAACAGAAGUCUAGAAUUUUAUUCUUUAGAAAUUGAUACAGUGAGAGCAAGUAGCUGAAACAGUAACAAUUCUGUGAAGGCAGAAUGCCGUUGAAGGAAACAGUUUACAAAGUUCAAAGGUCACUCGGUUCUAAGAAUACAGGUCUAGAUCAAAUCUAAAGCAAAACUAUUAAACUUUUGCUAAAAUUAGAAUGAAUUUUUUAAAGGUCUUAAAAGAAUCGCACAGAUAAUUGCAUGAUGAUUAUUUUGAUAAAUGCCAGAAUAUACAAUUAAAAGAUUAGAUAAUUUCUUAGAAAGAAUGUUAGGAGAAAUAAAGAAUAUUAUAUCUCAGUUAAAAAAUACUAAUUUACCACUUGAAGAAUAUAUUACUUUAAUUAGAAAAUAUGAGAUGAAUGUUGCGGAUUAUUUUUAUUUAUUAGAUCAUAGAAUGAUUUUAUAUUCAAAUAUCCAAAAUAGAGUUAACAGAAGAUAAAAUGAUUAAAAGAUUAGGACAUAUAUUACAAUAUAGAAAGAAUCAUUUUAUUAAAGGUAAUAUAGACAUUUCCAUAAAAAAGAAUAAUAACAGGCCAAAUAGAAAAAUCUCCCAUUGAACAAGGACGUGUCUUUAACUUCCAAAUUCAAUAGCAAUUGAAAAAAAAUUAAAAAAAUAAAAAAAAUUAAAUAAAUAAAAAUAAAAUUAAAAAAAUGGUGGUUAAUGGUAAGUUGAAAUGGCAAUUUUAAAUAUAUAUUUUGGACAGGGACGUGCAAUUAUAGCUUCCAAAUUCAAAAUGGUAAUAUUGAACUGGGACGUGCCAUUAUAACCUCCGAAUUCAAAUGACUUAUUUAUAUACACAUAUUUUGGUAGUUAACAUAUAAAAACAAUGGAGGUUAAUCUAGUAAGUGGGGUAGUUAAUAAACUUUAUGGAUGGAAAAACCAUAAGAAGAAUUUAAGAUAAUGGAAUUGAAUAUGGAGUUAUUUAGUACAAAACAAGUGUACCUAAUUUUAAAAUUUAAGGACAUAAUAGAAGUAGCAAUUAAUAUAAAGUGCGUUGCCAAAAAUUAUGUAACAAAAUAAAGAAUUUUCGACUAAAGAAAUUUCGACACCUUACAAAAUCUAAAAAAGUACGCGAACUCUACUAUCGUGACCAAAGCUUUUAAUUUGAACUCUUGAGGAAGUACCGUAGCGAUGUAAUAAUAUAACUCGAAUUAUAUUAGCGAUGAUGGAACUCACUUUUGCAAUUGUUUAUUUUAGUCAAUGCUACACAUAUAUGGAGCGCGACAUUGUGUGGCCACUGCCUACCAUCCUCAAACAAGAGGAAAGGUCAAUACAUCUAAUAGGCACUUGAAGUGGAUCUGGGAACUUACAGUAAAUUCAUCAAGUGGACUACUGAGCAAAUGGGUCCAUUAUGAAUCAAUCGGUUAAUCAAACAUUGAUAAUUAUUACAAAGACGCAUUUUAUGUUCUCUUUAGAUCAAGUAGUUUUGAAGAAAGUGGCAAUUUUACCUGAAUUAAACAAUUUUUACGUCGAUCACUAAAGCCCAUAUUUAUGAAAGCCCAAGAACAUGGGUAAAUGAGGUCCAUACAAAGCCUAUUUAUGAAAGCGCAAGUAUGGGGGGAAACAAUCCACAACGGUUGUACGUAUUUGCAUAAAUCUCCAGCCACGCCAAGCUCUUGAAGGAUAUUCUUUUCUACAAGAGAGAUGGAGAAACAUGAAAUUGUUGCGUAAUCGAAAAAUUGCAGUGCAAUUCUUGAGAAAAAGUUCUCAUAAAUAAAAGAUUCAAGGAGUUUUGCUAUACCUUACAUUAUUUGUUCUAAUUAUUUUGGGCACUCAUUAUGUGACCUAGGUGCUAAUAUUAUUUCAAUGCCCUUAACCACGUAGGAAGCUUGGAUUAGGAAAAGAAAAACCAACCAUAGUGUCACUUAAACUUGUAAAUCAAUCUAUCAAAUAUUCUUGCGGUAACAUUCAGGAUACGUUGGUAACAUUGACAAAUUCAUAUAUUCGACUGAUUUCAUACCAGAAUAUGGAGGGGGAUGCAUAUAUUCCCACAAUAUUGGAUUGAACAAUUCUGGCUAUCGGCCGUGGCAUUAAUUAAUGUCUACAUAGAAAAGAUGGUUCUCAAAGUGGACGAUGAACAAAUCAUCUUCACUGUGUUCAAAUCCAGGCAAUAUGCAAUAGCAUCAAAUUCUUGCUGGCCAAUGAGUAUCGCAAAAUUAUUUUUAUUUAAAUAAGUAACAUAUUUAAACAAUUUUGAAAAUAAUGAACAAAUUACAGGAGAUAUGUACACAUAGUAGAGUUUAAGGAUGAAUAGAAUAUUUCCACGACUAGUUUUAAGCUACAACAGAGUGAAUACGAAAGUAGUCAUGAGCCGAGCCACUAAAAAUAUCUCUUUUUUGCAUCUUUUAUGAUAAAGAGGGUAACAAGGCACCAUAAACUUUAAAAUGUGAAUUUUCUAAUUUGAAUUUUAUGCUUUAUCUUCAUAAACAUAAAAUAUAAUAUACCAUUAUGGAGAUCGGAUAACAAAAGAAAACAAGUUGGGUGAAAAAAAUAUAUUCAAUCUGAAUUCGAUGGACACUGAAUUUGUCUUCUGUAGAAUAGAACGCAAGUAACUCCAUCUCAAUUUCAUAUAAAACUGGACCAUACACUUUUCCUUAUUUUCAUAAAUAUUAAAAAUACUUUACCAUACGGUCAAUUGGAUUAAAAAUAUAUUCAAACUUGUACACACUAAAUUGAUAUUCAGUAAAACGCAAGUAACCCGUCUCAUUCUCAGAUAAUUGGUCGAACAUAGCUCAUGAUUAUUACACAUAAAUAAUCUAAUUUCAACAAACUAUUAUAUGUAACAUAUGGAAAUAGAAAACAUUGGUAAAUUUGAGGAUUUUAUUAAAACAGCGUGAAAGAAGUCCCAAAUCAUCGUCCAUCAAGGAUUGUAAGAGUGACAUCAUUAACGGAGUCUCCCAUCCCGGAAGAGGUGUCGGCAAAAGUCGGUUGCUUCGGCACAGGUAAAUCGACAAUUUCCCGACUAAGCAUUGCAAGUACAGUUGAAAUUGUAGGCCGGUUAUUAGGGAAAUCUUGUACGCACAAUAGUGCAAUGUGAAUGCACCUCACCAUCUCUCCCUGGAAUUCGGCUUUGUAUAUUGUUUGAUCUAU
rnacentral:lncRNA from 1 species